GACGAACGCUGGCGGCGUGCUUAACACAUGCAAGUCGAACGGUGAAGGGGAGCUUGCUCCCCGGAUCAGUGGCGUACGGGUGAGUAACACGUGGGCAACCUGCCCCAGACUUCGGGAUAACGCUUCGAAAGAGGUGCUAAUACCGGAUACGAACUCCUUGGGCAUCCUUGGAGUUGGAAAGUUGUUCGGUCUGGGAUGGGCCCGCGGCCUAUCAGCUUGAUGGUGAGGUAACGGCUCACCAAGGCGACGACGGGUAGCCGGCCUGAGAGGGCGACCGGCCACACUGGGACUGAGACACGGCCCAGACUCCUACGGGAGGCAGCAGUGGGGAAUAUUGCGCAAUGGGCGAAAGCCUGACGCAGCAACGCCGCGUGAGGGAUGACGGCCUUCGGGUUGUAAACCUCUUUCAGCAGGGAAGAAGCGAAAGUGACGGUACCUGCAGAAGAAGCACCGGCUAACUACGUGCCAGCCGCCGCAGUAA
rnacentral:rRNA from 1 species